AAAAUCAACAUUAAAUGAUUAGAGUACGUGAUAUGAUGUAAUUUU
rnacentral:guide_RNA from 1 species